UACAGAGGGUGCGAGCGUUAAUCGGAAUUACUGGGCGUAAAGCGUGCGUAGACGGUUAUUUAAGUCGGAUGUGAAAGCCCCGGGCUCAACCUGGGAAUUGCAUUCGAGACUGAAUAGCUAGGGUGCGGUAGAGGGAAGCGGAAUUUCCGGUGUAGCGGUGAAAUGCGUAGAUAUCGGAAGGAACAUCAGUGGCGAAAGCGGCUUCCUGGACCAGCACUGACGCUCAUGCACGAAAGCGUGGGGAGCAAACAGG
rnacentral:rRNA from 1 species